CUGCCCCUCACUCUUUGUUUAUCUGCCUAAAAAAAACAUAAUGCAGUCCGUUUACUUUGAAAAUGGGUGGCAUUAGGAAAUAAGCACAUUGUGGCAGCAUGAGUCGUUUUACCAAACCAAUGUGGUAACCACCGCACGGGUUAGAGCUGCAAGACGCCAGUCACAUGAAGUUGGCUUGUGCUCUUCAUGCAGCAGCAGGUAUCCUCCUGCAUUCGGAGUUAUUUGGCGCAGUCAACACAAGGAGCGACAACUCCGAUCAGGCAAAACAGCAAAUGUGCACAUGAGAAGAUGGCACAAGCUUAUAGAAUCCACAUGUUCAGUUAACUAAAAAAAUAUUUGUGAUUAAAUUUCACGAAAUUACAUGUUUAUUGAGGUUGCAGCAGACAAUAAGAGGUUUUACAGUGGGUACUUGACCACAGUAU
rnacentral:lncRNA from 1 species